CUCUCAUUUUUAUUUAUUUUAUAACUGUCCUCACGCCGUCCCCUAAAGACCGUGCAAAGAAUUCCGCGAGGGGUUUGUAAUGUUUUAAAUCUGGAUAUCAAGCCUCUUCCUGGUUGACCUUAAAAGUGUUGAUGCCACCGUAAUGUCUUCAUAAAGUUCGGGGGUUUCACUUGUUAUGCAUUUUUGGCAAACGGUAUAUUUUUCGAUGGGCUUUUAUGCGAUAAUAUGUAUUGCCUAAAUUUCAUCUUCAUGUGAUGUUAGCUAACUCGUUUCUAACUGAGGUAGAGGAAAAGUUAUAGCCAAAACCAGACGAUCUGGAGAAAAUCAAAGAUUUGACGGAGAUUUUAAAUGAAGAAGCUCUAAGUAAAUUAGAGGCAGAGUGUGAGGUAGACGUUAGUACGCCUAGUACAACUGGAAGUCAUAAGAUGCUAUUUGACCGAUGUUGAUAUAAGAGCCAACAACAAGAAAAAAAGAAAUGCCGCCGCAUUUCGCCUCAUCGUAAGGAAUGAAGGUUCGCCACUUAAUUAAAGCUCGCAACAGAGUAAAAAUAAGGAAAAAUGAGGUCCAACACUCCGCUCAUCGCCUCAUAUAGAUAAAGAUUCGCUGUAUGGCAAAGACUAAAAAACAAGCAUACAACUCCACGCCUCCGCUCCAGCAGAAUGGUGCUUCCAUAGACUAAUGGUUCAAUGUCUAAAACAUUAUCAAACUACUACUACUUCUCAGGAAAUCAAGGUAUUCAAGAUAUAUUUUCCAGUCCUCACCCGUGCUGGGAGGUUUGCCAAUUCUUUACGCGGUUCUUCUUCAAUGCAAAUAGUUACACUCUGG